rnacentral:lncRNA from 1 species
AGAAUUAAAUAAAACAAAAAAUGAAAUAAUUUUAACAAAACAAAUAGAAGAUGAAUAUAGUGUGUGGAGUGCAGAUAUGUCUGAUGAUUAUAUAGAUUUAGAUCCUGAUGACUUUAUUUCUUUUUAUAGUUCAAAAUGUAAAUAUGUUAAUGUAAAAGAUAAGGAAGUUGUUGAAAGUGAGAGUCAAAAUGAAGAAACAUGGUCGGCGGCAUCAUAUAACGAUAAAAAUGAAAAAAAUUAUGAGCAAUUGUAUAAACAAAAAACAAAGAAUAAUAAUAAUGACACGUAUUUAAAUUUGAAUAAAAGUGAGAAUAAUAAUAAAAACAACAAAUUUCCAUAUAUUUAUUCAACUAGUAAACGUUGCGUUGGCAACCGUUCUGCUUCUAGCGAUUCUUCUUCAUCCUUUUGUUCUUCAUAUAGUAAUUCUGAAAAAAAUAUAACAAAACUAAGUUAUUAUUAUAAUGGAGAUUUUUUUAUAUACUCUAGUGGGGAUGAUACAGAUACGUCUUCGAGCGAAGAUGAAAGUGCUAAUGAUGAAAAUGCAAAUGAUGGUGAUGAUGAUGAUGAUGAUGGACCAGAAGAAGAAAUCAUUUUUAAUCCAUUUGCUUGGAAAAAAUUUGAAAAACAUAUACCAACAGAAUAUAAAGGUUACUUAGAAACGUUAGAAAAAGAACUUGAUGCAUUACCAGUCGAAGUAGAUAUAAAAGAUAUACAAUUAAUUAUAAAAUCGAAUAUAUAUAAAAUAUUUUUACAUGUAAUGAAUAAACACAAAAACGUUUUAACUAUUUUUGAUAAAAAAUUAGAUGAAUUUAUUGAAAUAGAUGUGAAACAAUUAAGAUGGAUUACAACCAUAUUGAAUAAAACAUCGAACAGUUUUAAUAAUAUAGAUAUAUGUAGGAUAUGGUUUGAACAUAUAUUUCAUUACAAUACUAAAGUGUUUAUAAAUUCAGAAAGGGAAUUUAUUAAUAAAAUAAAAUGUUCCAAAUUUUUUGAAAAAAAUAAUAGAACUUAUUUAAAUAAUAUAUUAAAAAACAUAAAAAAAUGGAAGUGUUAUCAUGAAAGAAAAGCGCAAUUAAUUAAAGCCAAUAAAGACAUUAAUAAUAAUGGAUGUUCAAAUAGUAAUAACGGUAAUAAUCAGCAC